AACGAACGCUGGCGGCAUGCCUAACACAUGCAAGUCGAACGAAGCCUUCGGGCUUAGUGGCGCACGGGUGCGUAACGCGUGGGAAUCUGCCCUUGGGUUCGGAAUAACAGUUAGAAAUGACUGCUAAUACCGAAUGAUGUCUUCGGACCAAAGAUUUAUCGCCCAAGGAUGAGCCCGCGUCGGAUUAGCUAGUUGGUGAGGUAAAGGCUCACCAAGGCGACGAUCCGUAGCUGGUCUGAGAGGAUGAUCAGCCACACUGGGACUGAGACACGGCCCAGACUCCUACGGAGCAGCAGUGGGAAUAUUGGACAAUGGCGAAAGCCUGA
rnacentral:rRNA from 1 species